GACGAACCGUGCGAACGUUGUUCGGAAUCACUGGGCUUAAAGGGCGCGUAGGCGGCUCCGAAAGUCCGGGGUGAAAGCCCCCAGCUCAACUGGGGAAGUGCCUCGGAUACUGCGGAGCUCGAGCGAGGUAGGGGUCGUGGGAACUUCCGGUGGAGCGGUGAAAUGCGUUGAUAUCGGAAGGAACGCCGGUGGCGAAAGCGCACGACUGGACCUCUCCUGACGCUGAGGCGCGAAAGCCAGGGGAGCAAACGGG
rnacentral:rRNA from 1 species